GACGAACGCUGGCGGCGUGCUUAACACAUGCAAGUCGAACGGAAAGGCCCUGCUUUUGUGGGGUGCUCGAGUGGCGAACGGGUGAGUAACACGUGAGUAACCUGCCCUUGACUUUGGGAUAACUUCAGGAAACUGGGGCUAAUACCGGAUAGGAGCUCCUGCUGCAUGGUGGGGGUUGGAAAGUUUCGGCGGUUGGGGAUGGACUCGCGGCUUAUCAGCUUGUUGGUGGGGUAGUGGCUUACCAAGGCUUUGACGGGUAGCCGGCCUGAGAGGGUGACCGGCCACAUUGGGACUGAGAUACGGCCCAGACUCCUACGGGAGGCAGCAGUGGGGAAUAUUGCACAAUGGGCGGAAGCAUGAUGCAGCAACGCCGCGUGCGGGAUGACGGCCUUCGGGUUGUAAACCGCUUUCGCCUGUAACGAAGCGUGAGUGACGGUAAUGGGUAAAGAAGCACCGGCUAACUACGUG
rnacentral:rRNA from 1 species